UAACAGGAUUCCCCUAGUAACUGCGAGUGAAGCGGGAAAAGCUCAAAUUUAAAAUCUGGCUGCCUUCGGUGGUCCGAGUUGUAAUCUGGAGAAGCGUUUUCCGCGUCGGACCGUGUACAAGUCUUCUGGAACGGAGCGUCAUAGAGGGUGAGAAUCCCGUCUCUGACACGGACUACCGAUGCUUUUGUGAUGCGCUCUCGAAGAGUCGAGUUGUUUGGGAAUGCAGCUCAAAAUGGGAGGUAAAUUCCUUCUAAAGCUAAAUAUUGGCUAGAGACCGAUAGCGAACAAGUACCGUGAGGGAAAGAUGAAAAGCACUUUGGAAAGAGAGUUAAACAGUACGUGAAAUUGUUGAAAGGGAAACGCUUGAAGUCAGUCGCGUUGAUCGAGACUCAGCCUGGCUUGCCUGGUGUACUUCUCGGUUGACGGGUCAGCAUCAGUUUUGACCGCCGGAUAAAGGUUGGAGGAAUGUGGCAUCCUUCGGGAUGUGUUAUAGCCUCUGAUUCGCAUACGGCGAUUGGGACUGAGGAACUCAGCACGCCUUUAUGGUCGGGGUUCGCCCACGUAACGUGCUUAGGAUGCUGGCAUAAUGGCUUUAAGCGACCCGUCUUGAAACACGGACCAAGGAGUCUAACAUGCCCGCGAGUGUUUGGGUGUCAAACCCGAGCGCGUAAUGAAAGUGAAAGUUGAGAUCCCUGUCGUGGGGAGCAUCGACGCCCGGACCAGACCUUCUGUGACGGAUCUGCGGUAGAGCGUGUAUGUUGGGACCCGAAAGAUGGUGAACUAUGCCUGAAUAGGGUGAAGCCAGAGGAAACUCUGGUGGAGGCUCGUAGCGAUUCUGACGUGCAAAUCGAUCGUCGAAUUUGGG
rnacentral:rRNA from 1 species